rnacentral:rRNA from 1 species
CUCAGGGUAAGUCGGGACCUAAGCCGAGGCGGAAAAGCGUAGGCGAUGGACAACAGGUUGAAAUUCCUGUACCGGUGUGAAUCGUUUGAUCGAAGGAGUGACACAGUAAGGUAGGUCAGCACGCGAUUGGAAGUGCGUGUUUAAGCAUGUAGGUUGAGUUAUAGGCAAAUCCGUAACUCUAAAAGCUGAGAUGUGAUGACGAGCUGUUUACAGCGAAGUGAUUGAUCCUACACUGUCGAGAAAAGCUUCUAGGUAGAGACACAUCGCCCGUACCAAAACCGACACAGGUAGGCGGGGAGAGAAUCCUAAGGUGCGCGGGAAAACCCUCGUUAAGGAACUCGGCAAAAUGCCUCCGUAACUUCGGGAAAAGGAGGACUCAUGUAGUGUGAAGGGCAGUAACGCGUGGAGCAUGAAUGAGUGGCACAAGAGAGGCGCAAGCGACUGUUUACCACAAACACAGGUGCCUGCUAAAGCGAAAGCUGAUGUAUAGGUGCUGACACCUGCCCGGUGCUGGAAGGUUAAGAGGAGGGGUUAGACUUCGGUCGAAGCUCUGAAUUGAAGCCCCAGUAAACGGCGGCCGUAACUAUAACGGUCCUAAGGUAGCGAAAUUCCUUGUCGGGUAAGUUCCGACCCGCACGAAAGGCGUAAUGAUUUGGGCACUGUCUCAACGAGGGACCCGGUGAAAUUGAAGUACCUGUGAAGAUGCAGGUUACCCGCGACUGGACAGAAAGACCCCAUGGAGCUUUACUGCAACCUAAGAUUGAACUUAGUUAAUGAAUGUACAGGAUAGGUGGGAGACUUAGAAUCUAGGGCGCCAGUCUUAGAGGAGUCGUUGUUGGGAUACCACCCUUUGAUUAAUUGAUUUCUAACAGGCCGAUUAACAACCGGCUGGACAGUCUUAGGCGGGCAGUUUGACUGGGGCGGUCGCCUCCUAAAGAGUAACGGAGGCGCCCAAAGGUUCCCUCAGAGCGGACGGAAAUCGCUCGAAGAGUGUAAAGGCAGAAGGGAGCUUGACUGCGAGACGGACAGGUCGAGCAGGGACGAAAGUCGGGCUUAGUGAUCCGGUGGUGCCGAGUGGAAGGGCCAUCGCUCAACGGAUAAAAGCUACCCUGGGGAUAACAGGCUAAUCUCUCCCAAGAGUCCAUAUCGACGGGGAGGUUUGGCACCUCGAUGUCGGCUCAUCACAUCCUGGGGCUG